rnacentral:rRNA from 1 species
GACGAACGCUGGCGGCGUGCCUAAUACAUGCAAGUCGAGCGGACGGAUGGGAGCUUGCUCCCAGACCGUCAGCGGCGGACGGGGGAGUAACACGUGGGCAACCUGCCUGUAAGACUGGGAUAACUCCGGGAAACCGGGGCUAAUACCGGAUAACUCUUCCCCUCCAAUGAGGGAAAGCUAAAAGAUGGCAUCUCGCUAUUCCUUACAGAUCGGCCCUCGCCGGCUUAGCUAGUUGGGAAGGUCACGGCUCACCAAGGCGACGAUGCGUAGCCGACCUGAGGGGGUGAUCGGCCACCCUGGAACUGGGACACGGCCCAGAGUCCUACGGGAGGCAGCAGUAGGGUAGCGGCCGCAAUGGACGAAAGUAUGGCGGAGCAACGCCGCGUGAGUGAUGAAGGUUUUCGGAUCGUAAAACUCUGUUGUCAGGGAAGAACAAGUACCGGAGUAACUGCCGGUACCUUGACGGUACCUGACCAGAAAGCCACGGCUAACUACGUG